AACGAACGCUGGCGGCAUGCCUAACACAUGCAAGUCGAACGAGACCUUCGGGUCUAGUGGCGCACGGGUGCGUAACGCGUGGGAACCUGCCCUUAGGUUCGGAAUAACUCCCCGAAAGGGGUGCUAAUACCGGAUAAUGUCUUCGGACCAAAGAUUUAUCGCCUUUGGAUGGGCCCGCGUUGGAUUAGCUAGUUGGUAGGGUAAAAGCCUACCAAGGCGACGAUCCAUAGCUGGUCUGAGAGGAUGAUCAGCCACACUGGGACUGAGACACGGCCCAGACUCCUACGGGAGGCAGCAGUGGGGAAUAUUGGACAAUGGGCGAAAGCCUGAUCCAGCAAUGCCGCGUGAGUGAUGAAGGCCUUAGGGUUGUAAAGCUCUUUUACCCGGGAUGAUAACGACAGUACCGGGAGAAUAAGCUCCGACUAACUCCGUG
rnacentral:rRNA from 1 species